AGGAAACAAAGGGUCUAUCUGUCUGUGUGAUGCUUUUGCUGGGAACAGAAAAGGAAUGAAGUCUUAGAACUUAGCCUUCGUUCAGGGAAAUCCUUUGGCCUGUGUUAUAUGGGUGGUCACACUAGCUGAUCACUGUGGUCCUUUCUGGCCUAUGAAAAAGCAAUGGCAAAAGCAAGGGUUGAAAAAAAUCACUAUUUUUGGAUUGACAUAUAAAAUAUAUGGAAAAAGAAAGCCACCAUCAAAUGAAUCACUGUGAACCUUCUGAAAAGUAAGAGCAUCACACAAGAUGCUUUUCUUAAAGGAUUUCUCAUUCUCAGCCCAGAGUACUCCAGAACAUACAAUAAGAGAAUUGCUAAUUGGGGUUGGAAGAGAAGAAAGGUGUAGAUCAAGACACAGCAAAUGAGGAAGGAAAUAACCCUCAUUGCUAAAAUCCUUUGUACAGCAUUCGGUCUCUAGUUGGAGAUGAGAGAGACGGAGAGAUGCAUUAAUCAUUUUUGACUGGAGCCUGCAUGGAGUUGGGAGGACAAGCAUGACUGCAGUCAGAGUACAUGGCAUGGAGACAGAAGUUCCGUUCUGUGCAGGAGGCAGACUAUUGUCAUAUGCAAGAAGGAUUUGCAGGAGAGAGAGACCAGGAGGGACUCUCUGCCCAGCCUGGAAUACAGAUGAACCAUGUCCCCACACAAGGAGAGAGAUCAUACUGGGUAGGACUUGUGGUGUUUUCAAAGCUCUGCAACUCUCAUUACUUUAAGAGUAAAAGUGUCUCUGGCUAAGAAAUUCCUUUGCUAAGCCUGUGUUUCUUGCUUUCCUGUUGCAUUGUUUCCAAAAGGGUUAAACUAGAAACCCAGAGGUCCCACAGCCUAAGUGGAAUUCUGAGGGAGUAUGUGUAAGUGACUGAGGAGCACUUGGAAGGUGUCACACUGGUUUUAGGAUCAAGGCUGAAUGAAAGCAUCUCAAAGACGGAUGUCAGCCAAGAGGUCUGAGCCUGGAAGUGCGCCCUAAAGUCCCAGAGCUAGAAACAGUGACUAAUCUCUACCCAGAUCAAGGUCAAUUGGAAGGAUGUGGGAUCCAGCAACAGACUGGUCACUUUACCGUGGGGUACUAGUCAGGUUGUAAAAAUGAUGACUAAGCUUCACUGUCAGCACAACUUUUAAAAAGAGUAAAUGCCCCCAACCUUAGCUUUUGCUGAAUAUCUGUGGAAAAAUUAUGCAGAGUACUUUAAACAUAAAGUAAUGGCUAAUGUUAACCAAUAGUCCUUGAUACACACAGUUGAAUCCUGAAAUAAGUACACAAAGAGUGAGAUCCUCGUCCCUGCUCCAGCUCCUUGUAUGUUAUGUGAAAGAUCCAGAGUGGCAUAAAGGGGCCCUAAAAAGACAGUCUCUAGCUGAGGGAAGGUUUCCCCUGGUGCAGACAUUGUGGAAAACAGCCAUAAGCCUGACAUCUGAGGACCUCUUUGCAAGCCUGAGGUAAGCAGCAUGCUGGGGUUGGGGCUGGGUACAGGAGGAAUGUGUUGCCGGUAGGGAUGCAGCACUCAGUGCUGUGGAAAUUCCAGGGAGUGCUGCAACACAGAGGGCAGCCCCACAAUGCUGCUAUAUCAUAGGCAAGCCACCAGGGCUGUCAAAGUUACACUGGGGCCUUCUCAGCUCCCAGAGCAACCCAGGACUGGGAGGGGGCAAAGGUUACUUAAAUCCCCUUCUCCUGGGCAUCAAGUUCUGUGCUGUAUCUCUGAGAAACACAACACAAAAUCUCAUCCAUGAUAAUUUGUACAGUGUGUAAGUUUGAAUACAAAUUCCAGUUUGCAUUCUGAUAGGCUACUACACAAAACUCUUCAUUGUGAAACACAUAGGUUAGGAAAAGUAGGACUACCAAGAAAAGAUUUCAGAUGGAGACCAAUUUAAAAGGCCAAGUGUGAAACAUUCAUGAAUAGAAACCAAACAACACUACAAAGAAAAUGCAAAUGGCCAAAAACUUAACCUUCUGUGAUAUUUCACACCAAAAGGCCACCUACUUUUAGAGGAAAACAAGAAUUUGUGCCCCAUUCUAUGAUUAUUUUAGGAUGGAACCCUAACUAUGGAGUCCCUACAGAUAAUAUUGCAUUUAAUAAAUAAUAUGAAAAGAAACUGUAUUUUAAGGCAUCUACAUAUGGAUCUAGAGUUAAGGUGAACAUCCAACCUUCUCUUUCAUAGUUUUGCUGAAUUUUGAAUGCAUGAUUCUCCAGCGUUAACAUUGCAUUAACUUUUAAAAAUGGAAUAUAGUCUAUAUCUCAUCAUUUUAAAAUUGAAUAUUUAAAUAUUAGUCUUUUUCAAGUAGCUGUAUAGUUUAAAAGACUGAGAUUUCAUUUUAAUUUAAGCAUGUGCAUGUCCUUUCUCAUUUUUAAAAGAAUACAUGUUAAGUAAUAUGUAUGCUAUCUGUUGUGGUCUUUGAUUAGAUAUAAGCAUUCAUCUAUGAUUCUAUGAUCCUUAGAGUAUUCAUGGGUACUUGUGCUGGUAUGGAGGAGAUUUGUCUUCUAAUAAAUAAUCUGCCUGCCUUGAAUUAGGAUGUCUAUAAGUGGAUAUUUCUGUCCUGUCACAUUCUUCUAUUGUAUUAUCUCUUGUCAAUAUAUUUCUGCUACUCCUGCUGUUGGUUUGGUAAUUAU